AUCAUGGACAGAACUGUGCUGCUGGUCGUGCUGAGUCUGCAGGCUCUGCUGAUCAUCUCUGCCCUCACCUCAGCUGAUGCAGCCGCUCUGAUGACAAAUGAUCCACAGCAAGAAGAGUCCCUGCAGCUGAAGAAAAUUGGGGAAAAUGGACAAAAAACAAAACUUCGUAUCAGGGGAGGCUGUUUCAGAAAACCAGGAGGAUGUGGGCCCUUUGUAUUUGUCACUAAGUCUCCCAUUGGUCCUGAAUUCAGACUACGUCUUCAGGGGAGAGAACGAACUUGAACAAGAUGGAACCAGACAACUUCACUCGUGCUGAGAGAAAACAGAAGUUUGAAACAUGCUCUUGUAGAUUUGCCAUGCUAAUGUGAGAAAUGGAAACAUUUCACUGUUUACUGCAGUCAAUAUGAUUAUGCUUGCUGUUAAAGUGUGUACAAGUAUAAUAAAAGCUUUCUAAUCA